CCUACGGGUGGCUGCAGUGGGGAAUUUUGGACAAUGGGCGCAAGCCUGAUCCAGCUAUUCCGCGUGUGGGAAGACGGCCUUCGGGUUGUAAACCACUUUUGUAGAGAACGAAAAGUCUAUUGAUAAUACCGAUAGACGAUGACGGUACUCUAAGAAUAAGCACCGGCUAACUACGUGCCAGCAGCCGCGGUAAUACGUAGGGUGCGAGCGUUAAUCGGAAUUACUGGGCGUAAAGGGUGUGCAGGUGGUUUUGCAAGAUGGAUGUGAAAGCCCCGGGCUUAACCUGGGAAAGCCAUACAUGACUGGAAGACUAGAGUGCGUCAGAGGGGGGUGGAAUUCCAAGUGUAGCAGUGAAAUGCGUAGAUAUUUGGAAGAACACCGAUGGCGAAGGCGGCCUACUGGACGGUGACUGACGCUGAGGCUCGAAAGCGUGGGGAGCAAACAGGAUUAGAUACCCGGGUAGUC
rnacentral:rRNA from 1 species